rnacentral:rRNA from 1 species
AUUGAACGCUGGCGGCAGGCCUAACACAUGCCAGUCGAACGGUAACAGGAAACAUCUUGCUGUUUCGCUGACGAGUGGCGGACGGGUGAGUAAUGUCUGGGAAACUGCCUGAUGGAGGGGGAUAACUACUGGAAACGGUAGCUAAUACCGCAUAACGUCGCAAGACCAAAGAGGGGGACCCUCGGGCCUCGGGCCAGCGGAUGUGCCCAGGUGGGAAUAGCUUGUUGGUGGGGUAAAGGCUCACCAAGGCGACGAUCCCUAGCUGGUGUGAGAGGAUGACAGCCCACACUGGAACUGGGACACGGUCAAGACUACUACGGGAGGCAGCAGUGGGGAAUAUUGCACAAUGGGCGAAAGCCUGAUGCAGCCAUGCCGCGUGUAUGAAGAAGGCCUUCGGGUUGUAAAGUACUUUCAGCGGGGAGGAAGGGAGUAAAGUUAAUACCUUUGCUCAUUGACGUUACCCGCAGAAGAAGCACCGGCUAACUCCGUG